UACGUAGGAGACGAGCGUUGUUCGGAGUUACUGGGCGUAAAGGGCGCGUAGGCGGCGCACCAAGUCAGGCGUGAAAGCCCUGGGCUCAACCCGGGAAUUGCGCUUGAGACUGGUGUGCUUGAGUACGGGAGAGGAUAGUGGAAUUCCCAGUGUAGAGGUGAAAUUCGUAGAUAUUGGGAAGAACACCGGUGGCGAAGGCGGCUAUCUGGACCGUAACUGACGCUGAGGCGCGAAAGCGUGGGGAGCAAACAGG
rnacentral:rRNA from 1 species